rnacentral:rRNA from 1 species
AAUAUUGCACAAUGGAGGAAACUCUGAUGCAGCGACGCCGCGUGAGUGAUGAAGGCCUUCGGGUUGUAAAGCUCUGUGAUAGGGGAAGAUAAUGACGGUACCCUAUCAGAAAGGACCGGCUAACUUCGUGCCAGCAGCCGCGGUAAUACGAGGGGUCCAAGCGUUGUUCGGAAUUACUGGGCGUAAAGCGGGUGUAGGCGGCCUGCCAAGUCGGAUGUGAAAGCCCUGGGCUCAACCCAGGAAGUGCAUCCGAUACUGGCAGGCUUGAGUACUGAAGAGGGAAGUGGAAUUCCAGGUGUAGUGGUGAAAUACGUAGAUAUCUGGAGGAACAUCGGUGGCGAAGGCGGCUUCCUGGUCAUGUACUGACGCUCAGACCCGAAAGCGUGGGUAGCAAACAGGAUUAGAUACCCUGGUAGUCCACGCCGUA